rnacentral:rRNA from 1 species
GACGAACGCUGGCGGCGUGCUUAACACAUGCAAGUCGAACGGAAAGGCCCUGCUUUUGUGGGGUGCUCGAGUGGCGAACGGGUGAGUAACACGUGAGUAACCUGCCCUUGACUUUGGUAUCACUUCAGGAAACUGGGGCUAAUCCCGUAUAGGAGCUCCUGCUGCAUGGUGGGGGUUGGAAUGUUUCGGCGGUUGGGGAUGGACUCGCGGCUUAUCAGCUUGUUGGUGGGGUAGUGGCUUACCAAGGCUUUCACGGGUAGCCGGCCUGAGAGGGGGACCGGCCACAUUGGGACUGAGAUACGGCCCAGACUCCUACGGGAGGCAGAAGUGGGGAAUAUUGCACAAUGGGCGGAAGCCGGAUGCAGCAAGGCCGCGUGCGGGAGGACGGCCUUCGGGUUGUAAACCGCUUUGGCCUGUGACGAAGCGUGAGUGACGGUAAUGGGUAAAGAAGCACCGGCUAACUACGUG